GGGCCGCUUCCGGCCCCAGUGGGGCUGCGAACCCCGGAAACCCCCGCGCUGCCCGCCCCGCUCCCGGCGGCUGCGGGGGGACGCGGAGGGGAGACGGAGCCCCGGAUCAGCCCGACCUCGACCUCGCCCCGAGGGUCGCGGCUGCCUGCGCCCGCGCUGCGCCCCCUCUCGGGGAGGUUGCUGCCAUCCUCGCCCAUUUCUCCGAGGGAAGCGCUCGGGGCAGGGUAGGGAAAUCCUGCCUGGGGCUUCACGGUGGUAAAGCGGCAAAGGCUGGAUCUAAAGUCGGACAGUAAAGCCCCAAAGCCAGUGAUCUUCACGUAAUCGCCAAGGAGGCAAAGGUAGGACCGUCGCUCCAGCCACCAAGUCGAGCAGCACGAGGCUUAACCGCGAGGGUGCAGAGUCCGGAAACCUCACUGCCGUCCCGGCUCCGAGCUGCCUUUAAAACACCGCCACCUACAGUACCCGGGAUCGAACUCAGGACCUUGAGCUUGCGAGGCAGGCGCAGUGCCACUGAGCUACAUCCCCGGCCCGUGUCGUUCCAUUUAUUGCCAGGAGCACGGAACUGGACUGAAGUACAAGAUUCCUCGUCUAGAGGAGGAGACACAUUUCACACAGGCAACGAUAAAAUCACUGAGGCCGUCUCCAAAGAACCCCGGAGGGGAGAAGACACUUCUGCCCAGCGGCGUCCCACUGGCCUACAGGCUUCAUCCCUGCCCUGAAAGCAGCAGCUCCUCUUCUCCCUUGAGUCCAACUUCUCCGCCUGUGUCCUACGUGCUGCAUCAGCCCGGGGAUCCCGAGACUUAGUUUCCCCUAUUGUCCCAUCUCUCUUGAGACAUCAGUGUUUUUGCAUUCUCUCUCUGCCAGUGGACAUAAGUGUUUGGAACUGAACACGCAACAUUUUCCCACCUCCCUGCCACCAUCCUUCUCUCUCUUUUCCUCCACUGUCGCACUGUGCUCCGGAGAGGCAGCGGUGCCUUUCUGGUGUGUCCUCUGCUCCCAGGCUCUCCAGGACCGUUUGUCUAAUGCCACCAAGGUGACCACUCUUCAGGCAUUUUCUACCUGCCAGUUCAGCAUCCUCUGAGACAUGAGUUCAUUCCUUCAUCAUACAGCCACGUGAAUGAUGAUCAUUUUCGUUUUACAGCUAGGAAGACGGAGCCUGGGAGGGUGCAGUAAACCACUCAGUCACCCUAGUGACCUAAAACCUUCUGGCCACUACUCUGCAGCCUCUCAUCUGUCCUACUGUUCCCUAUAUCCCUGGUUUAAGGGAGGCACUAGAUAAACAUGUGUUGAUUGAAUGAGUGCUCGAACACUUUAAUGACUCUUUGCCAGCUUGUCUAGUGACAUUUUCUGCAAAGUUUUACAAUUUAGUCAUAAAUGCAGUUGGUAGUCAUGUUAUAUGUUUCAUUGUGUCUCAUCACCCCAGAAUUACUUUAUGAAUUAAAUAUCCUGAAAAGUAAAAUAGAGUUGAAUGCAAUACAAUCCCAAACCCAUAUAUCUUGUGCCGUCAUCUUUGCUGUCAAAAAGCCAAUGCCUCCUUACACAGCAGAGAGCACUGACAACAUAUUAAUUUGGUUUAGCUCAUGAGGUACAUACACUUGAGCAUGAACAGUACAAAAAAAGAAGUCAAG
ensembl:lncRNA